UCUACACGGGGCUGUUAGGUUUCUACAUGUUAAUAUAUUCUAUAGAAGUUAUACAUUUUUUUCACAUUUUUAUUGUGAAUAUUAAAUAAUAAAUGCAAAAAAUCAAAUUGUUCCUUUAUCUCGAAAUCUAGUGAUUGUAUAGAUAUUUUUAAUUUAUUCAUACAAUUGUCGAUUGAGAAUCAGUUAUAUCAUAUGGGUAUUUCUGAUUAUUGAAUUAAUAUUGCUCUUGAUAAUGAUUAAUAUUUUAAAUUAAAAAUUACAAGCUAAGUCAUAAAUCGUAUUUGCUUAUGUUUUUCCUUUUAUAUUUAUAGUAUAUUGAUUAUAAAUAAAUUACUUCUAAGAUCGUUUUAUUAACAUGGACGUGGGUUCGAAUCCCACC
rnacentral:tmRNA from 1 species